rnacentral:lncRNA from 1 species
UUGGACAACAAUAAUGCAUUAGGACUAAAAUGUAGUUGAUUGAUGACAAAGUGUUGUCAUUGACAUAGGGAUGUCAAAAUCACUACAUGAGUAUAUGUUAGAGAAUGACAUAUUAGACUGACCCGCUAUGAGUAUGUUUCUUGGAUUAUUAUAUAAUAGUCACAACAUUGGUCAUAGUGAUUGUAAUAGCCCAUUUUUCCCGGCCCCAUAAAUACCAAAAAAAAAUAAAAAAGUAAAAGUCCAAUAAUUCAGACCCAAAUUAAUUAAAAUUACAUUUACCCAAAUACCCAAACCCGAAUAAGACCCAAAUCCCAAAUUCACUAAACCCAUUUACAAAAUCCAUUUUUGCAGCCCAGUAACAUUGAAGCCCAAAGCAAUCUCCAAAAACCCCUAAGGUGUCUAGAGCAAACUGCAACAGCA